GGAGCGCCGCGGCGGCCGCUGCUGCUCCUGCUGCUGGCGGCGGCGGCGGCUCGGGUGGCAGCCGCGGGGCUGGGACAGCGAGGAGCGCGGGCGGCUGGCAGGGGCGCGCGCGGGGCGCCGCGAGCAGCUUGGCUCCGCGCAGGCAGCCAGGCGGCGCUCCUGCCGGCCCCAGGCGCGCCGCUAGCCCGGCCCAGCGCCCAGCCCGGCGGGCGGCGGCGGGCGAGCCGGCGCAGGAGCAGGAGGAGGGGGAGCCGCGCCGCCAGGGAGGGAAGCCGGGGCGAGGCGAGGAGGUGGCGGGAGGAGGAGACAGCGGGGAAAGGUGUCAGAUAAAGGAGGGCUCUCCUCCGGUUUGGAGUCAUCAUGGCCGCUAAGUCAGACGGGAGGCUAAAAAUGAAGAAGAGCAGCGACGUGGCGUUCACCCCGCUGCAGAACUCGGACCACUCGGGCUCGGUGCAGGGAUUGGCUCCGGGCUUGCCGUCGGGGUCGGGAGCCGAGGACGAGGAGGCGGCCGGGGGCGGCUGCUGCCCGGACGGCGGCGGCUGCUCGCGCUGCUGCUGCUGCUGCGCUGGGAGCGGCGGCUCGGGCGGCGGCUCCGGGGGCUUGGGCGGCCCGGGCGGCGGCGUUGGCGGCCCGGGCAGCAGCGGGGCGGGCUCGGCGGCGCUGUGCCUGCGCCUGGGCAGGGAGCAGCGGCGCUACUCGCUGUGGGACUGCCUCUGGAUCCUGGCCGCGGUGGCCGUGUACUUCGCGGACGUGGGCACGGACAUCUGGCUUGCCGUGGACUACUACUUGCGCGGCCAGCGCUGGUGGUUCGGGCUCACGCUCUUCUUCGUGGUGCUCGGCUCGCUCUCCGUGCAAGUGUUCAGCUUCCGCUGGUUUGUGCACGAUUUCAGCACCGAGGACAGCGCCACGACCGCAGCUGCCUCCACGCAGCCUGGAGCCGAUUGCAAGACGGUGGCCAGCAGUGGGUCUGCAGCCGCGGAAGGCGAGGCUCGUCCUUCCACGCCGCAAAGGCAAGCAUCCAACGCCAGUAAGAGCAACAUCGCCGCCACCAACAGCGGCAGCAACAGUAGCGGGGCCACCCGGGCCAGCGGCAAACACAGGUCUGCGUCCUGCUCCUUCUGCAUCUGGCUCCUGCAGUCACUCAUCCACAUCUUGCAGCUCGGGCAAAUCUGGAGAUAUUUCCACACCAUCUACUUAGGCAUUCGAAGUCGACAGAGUGGGGAGAAUGACCGGUGGAGGUUUUACUGGAAAAUGGUGUAUGAGUAUGCAGAUGUGAGUAUGCUGCACUUGCUAGCCACCUUUCUGGAAAGUGCGCCACAGCUGGUCCUGCAGCUCUGCAUUAUCGUACAGACUCAUAGCUUACAGGCCCUCCAAGGUUUCACAGCAGCAGCCUCCCUUGUGUCUUUGGCUUGGGCCUUGGCCUCCUACCAGAAGGCCCUCCGGGACUCUCGAGAUGACAAGAAGCCUAUCAGCUACAUGGCGGUUGUCAUCCAGUUCUGCUGGCACUUCUUUACCAUUGCCGCCAGAGUCAUCACCUUCGCCCUCUUUGCCUCGGUUUUCCAGCUGUACUUUGGGAUCUUCAUCGUCCUCCACUGGUGCAUCAUGACCUUCUGGAUCGUCCACUGUGAGACAGAAUUCUGCAUCACCAAAUGGGAAGAGAUUGUGUUCGACAUGGUGGUGGGGAUCAUCUACAUCUUCAGCUGGUUCAACGUCAAGGAAGGCAGGACACGCUGCAGGCUCUUCAUUUACUAUUUUGUGAUCCUCUUGGAAAAUACAGCCUUGAGUGCCCUCUGGUACCUCUACAAGGCUCCCCAGAUUGCAGAUGCGUUUGCCAUCCCAGCGCUGUGUGUGGUAUUUAGCAGCUUUUUAACUGGCGUCGUUUUUAUGCUGAUGUACUAUGCCUUCUUUCACCCCAAUGGACCCCGAUUCGGGCAGUCACCAAGUUGUGCUUGUGAGGACCCAGUCGCUGCCUUCACUCUGCCUCCAGAAGUGGCCACGAGCACACUCCGGUCCAUCUCCAACAACCGCAGCGUCGCCAGCGACCGCGACCAGAAAUUCGCAGAGCGGGAUGGGUGCGUCCCUGUCUUUCAGGUGAGGCCCACUGCCCCGUCCACACCAUCCUCUCGCCCACCACGGAUUGAAGAAUCUGUCAUUAAAAUUGACCUGUUCAGGAAUAGGUACCCGGCGUGGGAGAGACACGUUUUGGACCGAAGCCUUCGAAAGGCCAUUCUAGCCUUUGAAUGUUCCCCGUCUCCUCCAAGGCUGCAGUACAAAGAUGAUGCCCUUAUUCAGGAGCGGUUGGAGUAUGAAACCACUUUAUAAAAUAGAAGGCCUCGGAGGAGCCACAACCUCCAGUGAAGGGGUAACAGCAGGGCCGUGGCAAUAAUGAAACUGUCCUAGAAUAGGGCAACGGGCUGUAAUGUGCUUCGUUGGACCCUCCGUCAGCUGACCGCCUGCUGCUGGCCUCCUUUCAAAAGAGCAGCUGAAGGGAAAGAACCGAACCGAACCGUGCCUGCUCAGUAGGACUCCUUGUUGCUACCAGCCCCUCCUGCCCACUUUUAGCGUGUCCACCAGAGGGUACUAUGAGCACGGAAAACAUUGCCUCCAAUCAAUAGGGUGUUUUGAUGGAGUUAACUGAUCUUUGCAUAAAAAUAUACUCAAUCACAUACACACAUGCACACAUACACACACAUGCUAAUACACACGGCACCAGUCCUCUGUCAAAAUAGCUUAGAUGAUUUCUUUUCUAGAUGCAAAGCUCUGAUUCUGAAUAUAAAAACAAAGAGAGAGAGAAUAUAUCCUUCAAGACUCCAGAAAAACACAAAACAAAACAAAAAAUAGUACUAUUUAGAAAAGAAUUUCAUAGACCAUUCUCAUUUGGAAACCACUACCAUGCGUUCAAAUCCUACCACGGACAGCAAACUCAACUGUCGUUUACAUAUGUAUUCAAAUCAAUGGAAUGGUUCAUUUUCAACACAUUUCAGGAUUUGUUUUUUAUUUUAAAUUUCAGUCGAGAACAUCCUUUCUGACAGAAAUCCUAUGCAGCACAUCUAUGGCUUUCGACAAGACCAAGGAGCUCAGUGAUUUCAUGAUGUAAAUUAAAUGAAAAUCAUGGUUCAGUAUUCAGUUGCAAAAAUUUAAUAAGUACAUGAAGAGGAAGCAGGGAAACAAGGCAAAAACGAGCAUCUGACUUCCCAGCCUGCCGCAGUUCACCGGGGCAAGGAGGUGCAGAGCGGCAGGAGAGAAACAUGCUGAACUGGGUGUUUCAAGACACAGAAAAGCGUGGCUCUGUGUGACAGCUACGGAGCAUGUCAUGCCACACCCUCCUAGUGCCAAAUAGCAUCCAACCACAGGACUGACGUGGAAGUCCCAAACACCGAAGAACGAGCGGCAUGAGCCCCCCAAACGUGGACGUGAGAGCACACCAUCACAUUCCCCAUUGUGUACAGACUAACCCCCCCAAUCCAAGGUCAAAGUGAUGUGUCUUUUAGAGGCUUUGGGACACUUUUUAAAACAUCUUGGAACUUGUCAAGCUUUACUGAAGGUGAUUUGCGUUAAUUAAUGCAACAGACCCUUUAAUCUUGCAAAUUCUUGACUUGUAAUAUUGUAGCCAAGCUACCGCGAGGGAAAAUUAAUCAGUUAGUGGGAAGGAGCCCUCGUUCCGUGCUGAGCUGUACCCAGGCCUGAAGAGAAAGACCUCUGUGAAGUAGAGCACUAAUGAAUUCGUGCUACCUGCUUCCUCAUCAUUCAUGCAAUGAAUAUUCAUCUACUUCAUUUGUUUUUGACAGUAAGCGCUGCUUUGAAAGAAAAAAAGUGUCAAUGGAUUCCUGGGGCUUGCAUAGCUCAGAGAAUAGGUACUGGGUCAUGGAGAAUCCUUAAAUGAAUACAAAUCUACUUGUUUGGAAAUGAAAAAAAAAAAAAAAAGUCAUUGUUAUCUCUUUAAUGAUUGAUCUGUCUGAGUACCGUGGCUGCCCUCACUUGGUUUCUUGAGAGUACUGUUGUCAGCAUUGUAAUAACAAAUUUAUGAAAAUUGAAUCUGUAAUUCCAUUUCAGAGGUAAAAUCUGCACGGAUGUAACUGUUAAGUAAUUUGAUUCUCGCCUUCCUGCAAUUAACCUUCUACAAUUGGGUGGUGACAUUGCCUGUUUCAAACUGAGGUACCUAAGUUUACAGUAUUGGCCCUCCUGUUGUUUCUGAGUCCUGACCAAACAUCAGUUACAAACUCUGAGAUCAAGUAGAGAUUCUUAUUGCCUAAAUGUUCGUUUCAAAGUAAACUAAUAGUCUCAUAAUUUGAAAAAAUCAUGGUUCUUUCCCACUUGCUUCUCUGUUUUCCAAGAAAGAUUUGAGUUGCAAGAUAAGAAUGAAUAUACUUUCACAUCAUUGUCUCAGAGUUUGCAAGUAUCAGGCUGCCCUAUGUUUUUAUAAAGUUUCUGUCUAACCUUGUAGUAGAACAAUUUCAGGAGUGAACCCUAGAUCAAUGAGUGAAAGUCAUCAGGGUUAUCCAAAGAGCAACCUAGCAGAAAAAUUUUAGAAAAGAAGCAGGGAUCCUUUUUCUUGGGUUUCAAAGACGUUUCUCCUUGCUAAGUGACCAUCUUAGUGAUUUGAGAGCUACUGAAUGGUAGUCCCAGUUAGAAGUGUCAGUAUUGUGCUGCAUACUCUAUUCUGUCAAAGUCAUUUUUCAGAACUAACUCUUGGCACCAGCACUGAAAUUUAAUGGCAAAAACUGGCCUACUACCAUGUAAUUUAUUUUCAAUUGCAAGGCAAUGAAAACUAAUAAGUUGAAGAAAAAUUUAAUUUCCUGAACUCCAAAGCCAAAAUGGGCACAAAGACACUCUGUAACAUACAAUGAGCUGGUUGACUGUGGGGACGCAGGGGCAAUAAACAAUCCUCUUAAGCACGGCUCAUGAGUGAGAGGCUAUAAGCUGUGUUGGGACAGAAGGUGAUUGAAGAGGAUGUCUACCAGUUGCUCAUCAGGAAUAUCUGCCUUUUUAUAGAGCAGAGGUUCAAAGUAGCCCCUGCCGUUCCCUAACUAUGAGGAUAGAUACAUCCAUAUAUGAAGGGCCAAGGCAGAAGACAGAGAAGAUAUCAGGGCCUUCAUGUCUGAGACUAACUCUGUCUUUAAGAAAACAGCUCUCCUUGGUCAUUGGCCCCUAUGCUGCUAGCUAGCUCUGCAUGCCAAGAACUUCUGAUGGACUACAAGAUGAGAUAUUUAAAGGUAUCGUAAGUAUUCUUGCUUGUAGAACAUGAACCACUGAAUUAGCCCUCCUUUUCAACAGCAACCAGAUUCAGGGUUACUAUGGCCUUACACAUCAUCCCAUUGUAAAUAUAUCAUGACAUCAUGAUAGCCUCUGUGUUCAAAUUCACUAAACCAGGUUUACAUGUCCUAGGUCUGUGUAUCUAUCCCCAAUUUGGAAAAAAAUAAUUUUUUGAGAAUGAUCUUUAGAAUAAUGGAAGUGAAAAAAAAAAAAGUGGACAGUUGAGUAAUUUUUCACCAUCCACGAAACCACUAGAGUGCUGAUAGCCCUAAAGCUCUGAUUUUUUUCUUUUUUCUCAUGAGUAAGUUUCUUUUUACUUAGGGCUUUCAACAUCUGAAUUUUCCAAAUGAUCGCUGAACCAUCUUCACUAAACUGAAGUAGACACUAUGGCAUUGUUAAAAAAUAAAGACUGUACACAUGAAAGCAAAUAUCCAAUGAAAAGUGAAGAAGUAAGUCACUCAAGCAGUAAAUUUGGUCUUUGUGACAUCAAACAUUUGAAUACUUAGGAAAAUCCAUGUGUUUGAAUGAUAGAAUUUUUCAUCUGGUUGUCUGGUGUUGUCUAGAUAGACAGAAAAUGCUCAGGUGUUGUAGGUAAUGAGAUUUAACUUUCUCGUGCAGUAAUCAUUUGCUGGUGAUAUUCUGCUGCUCAAAAUCUCUUUGUUGUGCAAAGAGGAAUAAAUAAUGCAGAGCAAAUGCUAUUUGAUUUUUAUUUACUUUUGGCAAACACGUGAAUGGAAGAGGUUUGGGAGGUUGUCCCAGGGGUAUUUAGAUGUGAUUAUGGCACAGACCUCCUUCAGAAAGACUGUUUUGGAGGCCUGCCACUCUGCUUCUUCCUGCCAAGGAAACUUUUUAUUCCGUUCCUUUCCAUCCUUUCUCAUUCUAUAAUUGCCCCCUGUUCUUCACAUAAUCUUCAUUGUUCCCAAAGUCUACUUGACAGAACUGUUCAGGAGAAAUGCAAGUUUGUUAACUUUUUAUUCUUCAAAUAGGAAGUUUUCAUUUUAAGGAUUAUAUCUUUCAAGCAGAAAAAUAAUGUAAAUGUCUCAAUGCAGGUAUUUUAUGGUGCAUGUUUUGGUGUUGAUAGAAGUAAAAGCGUUUUUUGGUUUUA